rnacentral:lncRNA from 1 species
CCCCAUGCCACAGUACAACUUGAAGAUAUUGAAUGAUUAAAAAUUAACACUGAAUCAAACAUAUAAGCUAUAAUAUUCAACAUAUAUUUCCUAAUUAAUACCCCAGACUAAAUGCAUGCAUAAUUAUAUGUAAAUUUGGGUUUUUUAAUUGAAGAACCAAAAUACAAUGCACAAUGUAGUAUUUUAAGUUGAGGAAGAUAAUUGUGUUGCAAAUACAGCCACUGAUUUUAGGUUGAAGUUCACAAAACGUAUAUUCCAACUAAAUUACAGCAUUUGGGCCACAUCAGCUUCCUGUUUGCGAAAGAAAACAAGAUGGUGUUGCUGCUAGGUUACCCUCUCUCUGUUUAUCAUUUAUGAGCACUUAGAGGUUUCGGUUAAAUAAAGAAGGGAGAACACAUUAUUGCAGAAAGUAAUUGAGAAUUCCAUAGAAGGU